rnacentral:rRNA from 1 species
AGCAGUAGCCGCGGGAAUACGUAGGUGGCAAGCGUUGUCCGGAAUUAUUGGGCGUAAAGGGCUCGCAGGCGGUUUCUUAAGUCUGAUGUGAAAGCCCCCGGCUCAACCGGGGAGGGUCAUUGGAAACUGGGAAACUUGAGUGCAGAAGAGGAGAGUGGAAUUCCACGUGUAGCGGUGAAAUGCGUAGAGAUGUGGAGGAACACCAGUGGCGAAGGCGACUCUCUGGUCUGUAACUGACGCUGAGGAGCGAAAGCGUGGGGAGCGAACAGGAUUAGAGACCCCAGUAGUCCCUGUCUCUUAUAC